GCCGACUGCGGGCACAGCACAUUCUGCUAGCUCUCAGAGCAGCUCUGGCAUCGGAGCUGCCCACACAACCUGACUGACACCCUGCCCCGGCCUUGGGAGACACCAGCAUGCUUUCUACCUCCACCCUUGGCAGUAGGCCUCUUUGGGAUGUGCCACUUCACCGAGAAUCUUGCUUACGUGGGACUCAUUUUGAAGAUGCCAAAAAAAAGUGCCUGUGAAUUAUUACAGAUGGCUCCACUAGAAUUGCAGCCGGGAGUUCUGUCUUCUACGCAGAAAUAUUACCUGUUACACUAAGGACAUGGACCUUCUUUAGCCCUGGCUCAGUUUUCCUAUCUGAAGAAUGGGGUGGUAUUCUUUCUGUGAUCUGCUAGGAUCCCUUUGCUGUUUGCAAAAUUCAUCAGUGAUCCUUAGAUGAAAAGAGAGGAUGAACUGCAAAGGCCCAAUGCUGCCUGAGGUGAAUGGCUCCUCUCAGAGGGAGACCAAAGUGUCAGCCUGUCUUGCAAAAAGACCUCUGAGAGGGGAGGCCUGAAGAAGAAAAGGGGCCAGCUGCAGGAAGUCAGGAUGCUGGGCGGCUGAAUUAGAGGUGAUUAUUUGUUGACAUCAAGGGUUGUUUUAUUCAGUUUUUGCAAAGGGGUGGUGGAUUCCAUGGUCUCUUUUAUUGAGGCCAUCUUUAUCCCUGCUCUUAAUCCAAAUGGUUUCUAUUUAUACAAAACCAGUCAUUAAAGAUCUGUGUACACCUUAGACUCUGGCCUUUCAUGAAUCAAGAGAUGAACAACCAGCCUGAGGGUAAGCCAGAUUUCUUAGCCCUAAAGCCCGGUCUGUCCUAGAUUUUGACCUGGGGAGUUCAAAUAACUGAUUUCUUGUACAUUUCAUGUUUUGGAAGAGAAGAUAUUUAUAAAAAGACAUUCUAAUAAUAUUUUUCAUCUUAUAUUUCAAUAGGCUAAAUAAAACAUAAAGAGAUUCACAGAAA